UACAGAGGGUGCGAGCGUUAAUCGGAAUUACUGGGCGUAAAGCGCGCGUAGGCGGCUUUGCAAGUCGGGUGUGAAAUCCCCAGGCUUAACCUGGGAACUGCAUUCGAGACUGCAUUGCUAGAGUAUGGGAGAGGGAAGUGGAAUUUCCGGUGUAGCGGUGAAAUGCGUAGAUAUGCGGAGGAACACCAGUGGCGAAGGCGGUUGCCUGGAGCUUUGCUGACGCUGAUGCGCGAAAGCGUGGGGAGCGAUCCGG
rnacentral:rRNA from 1 species